AAAGUCGUAACAAGGUUUCCGUAGGUGAACCUGCGGAAGGAUCAUUGAAAGUAGAAGACUAGUGGGGGGGGGGAGAGAAAACGGUAAGCCUGUAUUCUUUCCUGGAAAGGAGAGAAAACGGUAAGCCUGUAUUCUUUCCUGGAAGCGAGAACAAAACCACUGGUGACUCUGAUGUUGCCGCCCGUGCUGGCUGCUGGUACCAAAAACCAGCUGCUGGUGCUUCUCUUUUCCUUAUGUGGAUUUCCACUUUUGAUUUUUUGUCUGAUGAAGUGAGGGAUGCCUUGUGCUCCUGAUAAAACCUAUAGAUAACUUUUAACAAUGGAUCUCUUGGCUCUC
rnacentral:misc_RNA from 1 species